rnacentral:lncRNA from 1 species
UUUCAUUUGUAUUAUUGUUUUAAAGUUUUAUUUUAUUUUUGGCUAUACAUUCACUAUUUGGUUUGAAAACUCAUAAAAUUAUGUACGUAUAAACAAGGGCUCACCUUCAUUGUCAAAAAUUUCAGGUAUAUAAGAAAAUAAGUACAUGCAUGCAUAUUAAACUGUUAAUGGUUUACGUGAAGGUUCAUGCCAAAAGGAGCAGAAGCAGUGCACGCCGCAAACCCUGAAGUACUAGUUAUCCUCUCCGGCAUAGACUUCGACACAAACCUCUCUUUCCUCCGUGACCGCUUCUUCAACGUCAGCUUCACCGAUAAACUCGUCUUCGAGCAGCAUUGGUACAGCUUCUCCCACGAGGGAGGCGCGUGGGUAAAACACAACUCCAACGAUAUUUGCGCCAAAAUCAUCGGGGAGGUCAAUCAUAAUGGAGGAUUCUUGCUCGACAGAGGCUUUCCUUUGAUUUUGAGUGAGUUUGGGACCGACGAGAGAGGCGUUGACGUCAGCGGAAACCGGUAUAUGAAUUGUUUGGUGGCUUGGGCCGCUGAGAAGGAUUUGGAUUGGGCGGUUUGGGCAUUAACCGGAGAUUAUUAUUUGAGAACCGGUACAAAACAUAUGGUUGAGACUUAUGGUGUUUUGGAUGCUACUUGGAAAAACGUCAGAAACUCUACUUACUUGCAGAAACUCUCCGGAAUUCAACAUCCAUUUAGAGGUCAGAUUCUUUUUUUUUAAUAAGAUAUAAAACUAUACAAAAAUAUUUAGGAUUCAAUCUUCUAACAUAUAUAUGUGUGUGUGCAGGACCCGGUUUACAAGAGAAAAAAAUUAUUUUGCACCCACAUACUGGCCUAUGUGUCACCAAUAACCACUCAGGCAAUGUACCCACACUUCGACUUGAACUAUGCACUAAAUCCGAGCCAUCGACCUUUAAUCCCAAGGAAGGCAUUCUCUGGAUCAAUAAAAUGUGCGUUGAAACUCCAGAUGUUGCUGGACAAAAGGUGAAGCUUGGAGUUGGCACUAAGUGCUCUAAGUUGGGACAAAUCUCAGCUACUAAGAUGCAUUUGUCGUUUAAGACAAGUAAUGGCUUGUUACUAUGUCUUGAUGUGGAUGAACGUGACAACAGCAUUGUCGCUAACCCUUGCAAGUGUUUGACUAAGGAUGCUUCGUGUGAUCCAGCGAGCCAGUGGUUCAAAGUUCUUUAAAUUCUAUAUAUUUUAUUCUGAUAAAAUGUAUUUGUAAUAAUUUUACGGUCAAACAUGUUAAUCAUUAAAAUUUAAUAAAAAAAUUCGCGAUUGGACAGAAAUCAUAAGGAAACCAAAGAAAUCAAGUUAGCGUAUAUUAUUACUAUUUAUGAUGAUGGAAAAAAAUGUCAUCUCCAUCUGUACUACUGCUAUAAAACCAAUAUUAAAGCCGGAUCCGUACGACCGCGUAUAUAUUUUUUAUUUGUUUUCGUAAUGUAAAUAAAUGUUUUUACACCAUUAUAUAAUUUAUAUAAUUUACUAUACAAAUGCUGAAAUAAAUAAAUUAUAAUACAAAUAUUUUUGUAAUAUAAUUUUCAUAAUAGUCAUGAAUUUAUAAAUAAAAAAGCAAACGCGCAUUUGAUUACACAAAAUUGAAAAAAGAAAAAAAAGAAUAUGGUUUGUUUAUGGUAUGUUUUAAUUUGAACCAAAGAAAUAGGAAAUACUAAGAUUUGCUAGCUUUUUUAUGCUUGACUAUGGGAUCCAAUUAACAAUUUGUAUGUACUUCUGUUUGAAAUCGAUAAAGGCUAAGCUUUUGUGAUUAUUCCAGAAUUUGUGAUUGUUCCCAAAAUUGUAGGUGUAAUUGAGUUGUGAUCUUCCAAAUUCCCACACAAAUAACUUAAAAGUAUAAUAUUUUGGGAGGGAAUUUAUAUAAAAAAGCAAUGAAUCGUACAUAUGAAUUAGCACAUAAUAAUUUUUUCACUUUGAGAUAUAGAAGUAAGACCUUAUUAAAAUCUAUCCAAGCAUGAGCUCAUAUUUUCCAACGUGUUGAAUUAUUUAUAAAAUUUACAUAACUUUUCUGUUGAUUCAGGUUAAAUAAAGUAAAAGAAAUUAUUAUCGACAUAUAAACUAUCUUUUAUUGUUGAUAUUGGAAGAGAACGGUAAAUGAAAUAAUUUUCUACGUGGAGGAGUUAUCGUCGUUUUAGGUAAGAAUGAUCAUUUUAGGAAAACAGUUAAUAGCUGAAAAAGACAAGAAUUUUUAACGAUAACUUAAUUAAAUUUUCAGUGGCAUUAUAUAACUCUAAGGGAUAUUCUUUGUGUGUACUUUUGUUUUAAUAAAGUAGAUUCACAUAUAAUCCGAAAUGGAAUUUUAAAAACCAAUGUUUUUAAAACCGGACCUGCAAGUGAACCGGAAAUUCUUUGGGUCAUGGACCAAUAUGGUUCGACCGGUUCAAUUCGGUUCAACCAAAUUAAAUUUAUUGAUAUGUUGUAAAUAAUAUAGGUAUUAUUUUUAAUGAUAUGUUGUAAGUAAUAUACUUAUUCUUUACAAAACAUCAUAUCAAAUAAAAUAUUUCAGUAACCAAAAUGUUUUAAAAACUUCAAAAAAAAACAAACUUAAAAUGUAACAAGAAUUUAUAAAAUAAUUUAAUAGUUCAAAUCUAAAAUUAAUAUGAAACACACAUUUAAACUUCAUUCUCCAGAUCAUAAUUCGUCUUCACCUUUAAAACAAAUCAUGUAAACUAAGUUUUUAUUUACUCGUGCAUUAAGAAGCAAGAAUAAGUAUAAUGCUUUGGUUUUACAAAAUUUGGAAUUUCAUGAAUGUUGAUGUUUGAAUUAUUAAAGUCUUUAACACAUCUGAUCAUGUAAUAAUAUUAUAUAAACUUGAAUAGAGAUGAACUGGCUCAUUUAUAAAUUUUACCCAUUUUAUUUAGUAAAAUAGUUAUAUUGUGUGGAAAAUUAAGUGACAAUAUAUAUAUGUAAUACAUUUUAUUAUUUUGAGUUAAGUUAUUAUUUUGUUCACAUAAACUAUGUCUUUGAAUAUGUGUUUGGCUACAUAAUUUGUCACCGAUUGAAAUUAAAAUAAAAAUAGUAAAAUAGACUAGACUGAACUUUUAUCCAUUUGCAAAACCCGAUUAUUUUACAUUUCUAUUUUAUAAUUGGUACAUAUGUAGAUAAGUAAAGAAACAAACUUUUACUGUUAUAAUAAUGUUCUAAUAAUGUAUUAUAUUAAAGUCUUUUAAAUUUUAAAGGAAAAUUUACAGCUCAGAAUCUGUUAACAUCAUGAUCCGUCCAUUGCUGUUUUUUUCUUACAGUUAAAACUAUUGUUUUAUCUUCAGUUGCUUUCUUUGGCUGGAAAAAUUUAACCUCUAACCAUAAACACUUAUAAUCUGCCAGCAAUCAGAAACUAAAUCAACUUCUUUCAUAUAUAAAUUGCGAAUGAAAUUCAAAAUAAUCAUAAUCAAAAACAAAAGAAACAUACAUAAAACAAAAUGGCAAGAUCUAUAUGUUUGUGUAUCUUCUUAUUAUUCAUUACUUGGAUUCCAAUUCUAUCCACAAGCUUUCCGCUCUCCACAAAAACUCGAUGGAUCGUGGACGAGAAAGGCCAAAGGGUAAAGCUAGCCUGUGUGAACUGGCCAGCUCAUCUCCAGCCCGCUGUGGCUGAAGGGCUAAGCAAACAACCAUUAGACUCCAUCUCCAAGAAGAUUGUUUCAAUGGGAUUUAACUGUGUUAGACUCACUUGGCCUCUUGAUUUGAUGACUAAUGACACAUUGGCUCGUAAAAUCACGGUCAAGCAGUCUUUUGAAAGCUUGAACUUGUUUGAUGAUGCUCUUGGGAUUCAAAUUCACAAUCCCAAAAUCCUUAAUCUUCCCAUAUUCAAUGCAUUCCAGGUAACAUAUUUAAUGCUAUAGCAUUGGUCUAGCUAGUCAAUCCAAUAACAAAAACUAACCAAAAUUGACCAAACGAAAGAAAUGUACUAAUUUUAAUGGAAUCUCUCUCUCUCUCUCUCUCUCUCUCUCUCUCUCUCUCAAUAUAAAUAUGUUUGUGUUAAUUUUAUUCUGUAACCAGGAAGUGGUAUCGAACCUUGGACAAAACGGAUUGAUGGUGAUACUAGACAACCACUUGACAUAUCCAGGCUGGUGUUGCAGCGACAACGACCUCGACGCUUUCUUCGGCUACCCUAACUUUGAUCCCGUCAUUUGGGCCAAGGGCUUGGGCAAAAUGGCUACUCUUUUCCGCAAUGUCACUAAUGUCAUUGGCAUGAGCCUUAGGAACGAGCCACGUGGUACUAGAGAUUACCCUGACCUAUGGUUUAGGUACGCAUUUCAAAUCAUCACCAAUUAAUGUGUAUUUCAUUUCGAAUAUAACCAAGAAAUUUCAACAUGGAAAUUAUUAGAAAUUACCAUUUUUGUGAAUAUAUUCAUGAUUAUUACUAAAAAUCUAUACAUAUAUAUAUAAGAUUAACAUAUGUCCACGCGCAUUUACGUAAAAUGUUUGGAUUCACCUUUUGUAUCAACUUUUUUCUUUCAUUUGUAUUAUUGUUUUAAAGUUUUAUUUUAUUUUUGGCUAUACAUUCACUAUUUGGUUUGAAAACUCAUAAAAUUAUGUACGUAUAAACAAGGGCUCACCUUCAUUGUCAAAAAUUUCAGGUAUAUAAGAAAAUAAGUACAUGCAUGCAUAUUAAACUGUUAAUGGUUUACGUGAAGGUUCAUGCCAAAAGGAGCAGAAGCAGUGCACGCCGCAAACCC